rnacentral:rRNA from 1 species
AGCCAUGCGAGUCGAGAGGUGUAAGACCUCGGCAUACUGCUCAGUAACACGUGAUUAACCUGCCCUAAGGUGGAGAAUACUCCCGGGAAACUGGGGUUAAUGCUCCAUAGUGGAUAUGUCCUGGAAUGGUAUAUCCUCGAAAGAUCCGUCGCCUUAGGAUGGGACUGCGUCCGAUUAGGUUGUUGGCGGGGUAACGGCCCACCAAGCCAUUGAUCGGUACGGGUUGUGGGAGCAAGAUCCCGGAGAUGGAUUCUGAGACAUGAAUCCAGGCCCUACGGGGCGCAGCAGGCGCGCAAACUUUACAAUGCGAGCAAUCGUGAUAAGGAAACCCUGAGUGCCUGUCGAUGCAGGCUGUUCAUAUAUCUAAAUCAUAUGUGAAGAAAGGGCAGGGCAAGACCGGUGCCAGCCGCCGCGGUAAUACCGGCUGCUCGAGUGAUGGCCACUAUUACUGGGUUUAAAGCGUCCGUAGCUUGACUGUUAGGUCCCUUGGGAAAUCUUCGCGCUUAACGUGAAGGCGUCUAAGAGAUACCGGCAGUCUUGGAACUGGGAGAGGUAAACCGUACUUCGGGGGUAGGAGUGAAAUCUUGUAAUCCUCGAGGGACGACCUAUGGCGAAGGCAGUUUACCAGAACAGCUUCGACAGUGAGGGACGAAAGCUGGGGGAGCAAACGGGAUUAGAUACCCCGGUAGUCCCAGCCGUAAACAAUGUGCGUUAGGUGUGUCGGUAACCACGCGUUACUGAUGCGCCGAAGAGAAAUCGUGAAACGCACCACCUGGGAAGUA